rnacentral:rRNA from 1 species
GUGCCAGCAGCCGCGGUAAUACGGAGGAUGCAAGCGUUAUCCGGAAUGAUUGGGCGUAAAGCGUCCGCAGGUGGCUAUGUAAGUCUGCUGUUAAAGCGUCUAGCUCAACUAGAUACAAGCAGUGGAAACUACAUAGCUAGAGUGCGUUCGGGGCAGAGGGAAUUCCUGGUGUAGCGGUGAAAUGCGUAGAUAUCAGGAAGAACACCGGUGGCGAAAGCGCUCUGCUAGGCCGCAACUGACACUGAGGGACGAAAGCUAGGGGAGCGAAUGGGAUUAGAUACCCCAGUAGUCCUAGCCGUAAACGAUGGAUACUAGGCGUGGCUUGUAUCGACCCGAGCCGUGCCGUAGCUAACGCGUUAAGUAUCCCGCCUGGGGAGUACGCACGCAAGUGUGAAACUUAAAUGAAUUGGCGGGG